UACGGGGGGGGCAAGCGUUGUUCGGAAUUACUGGGCGUAAAGGGCUCGUAGGCGGCCAACUAAGUCGGACGUGAAAUCCCCAGGCUCAACCUGGGAACUGCGUCCGAUACUGGAUGGCUUGAAUCCGGGAGAGGGAUGCAGAAUUCCUGGUGUAGCGGUGAAAUGCGCAGAUAUCGGGAGGAACACCAAUGGCGAAGGCAGCUUGCUGGGACGGUACUGACGCUGAGGCGCGAAAGCGUGGGGAGCAAACAGG
rnacentral:rRNA from 1 species